AUGUGUUUCAUGGUGAAUGAUCCUGGACGUUUGGAUAAUCUACGUAACGGGAGUAAAGGUUUCGAGUUUGACGGACUGCAGAGUCAGACACGAGGCUUGUUCUCGGACGAAGAUAAACGGUUCUUUUGUAAAAUUUGCGGGAUACGCUACAAGCACAAAUCCAGUCUCAAAAGCCACCUCUUAUCUCACACUGCCGAGACGUUCUGUAAAGUUUGCAAUAAGAACUUAUCCAACAGGGCAAAUUAUAAAAUGCACAUGAUGUUUGUACAUAAUAUAAAGAUGAAAGGUUAAAUCUUACCAAUGAGUACUUAAAGGCCUUUUUGAUUUGAUGUGAUUGUGAUAGGUCUCGAAUAGUGGGCCUGGCGUUUUUCAACAGAAGCGCUAUAGUAAAAAGUGUUUAAAAACUUUACCAACCUUUGUAGUAUGAAAAUGAAGGCAGGGUGAUUUUUACAGCAUUACGAUUCGGUCUAAAAAAAAGUUGGAGUGUAGGUUUUUGAGGUAUCAAAAAUUAUUGAAUAGAAAUGACCGUGACUCAUUGAAAAUGUGAAUUCUCAGUAUACACUUUAGAGAAUUCGAAGUGAUUAGGCAACACAAAUAAUCUCAUUCGCAAAAAAACUGUGAAAAAUACAGGGACUCUAAGGAAAAUCCUAAAAAUGUAAAGACUCUCGAUACUUUCAGUGAUGAUAGACGUGCUUAAAUAUGUUUGGCUUUUGCCUGAAUGGAUUCAUGCCCAAGUCCAUAUUUUCCAUAUUCGUCGGAACUCUCUGAAUAUUGAAGGAAAUUUUGCUGACAUUAAGGAACGCAUAAGUUUUUACUCUAAUGACUAUGUUUGAAUGGCAGUUGUUCUCAGUCUGUAUAUUAUUGUUUUAAAAAUAUUUCUCUCCGUUUUGUUUUCUUGUCUGUUUUGGCUAUAUUUCAUUUUCAUCACCAACUUCGAAGGAACAGUUUAAAAGCCUUCUCAUUAUUUUUCCCCCUUUUAAUUAACAAUACUAUUUACCUUAAGUUACCGUACACCUUUAAUGAUUUUAUUUGUGUGUGAAAGGACUGUACAUUUUCCCAAUUAUUAUUGAUUACCAACCAAUUCAUAGAACUUUCAAUUGAUUCUUGUUUUUUUCUCUUGCUAGAUACUCUCCAAAUGUAUAAAGCUCACUUUUAAAUUUCAAAGAAACUGACCAUCUUAAGUCAUUUAUUCCUCGUGAGAUAUUGUAAGAUAAGUUACUCUGAGCGAAUAGAAAUUCGGACCAUAUAUUUUGUAUGUAAGAUAUUUUUGCUGUGUGGUUUUUUUUCACGUCCUGGAUUUAAACGUCUCAAAAUUAAACUUCUAUCUCUCAUUCUGCCAUCAAUAAUUUCAUUCUUUCCUCUCGAACCAUAAAAAAUACAAUCUAAUGAAGGAUAAAAACAUACAACAAACGGCCGAUGCAUCUUUAUGAACACGCCGGAGCUUGUUUUGCCUACUUCGUCAAAUGAAGGCGAAACACGCGUCUGUGGCACUCGGUCUUUCAUCCCGUUUUGCUUACAGAGGUAUUUCGCACACUUUUCUUCUGGAUGAGGGAUGUUUCAAAAUAGGUCGCUUGUAACGAAUAGAGUCGAAAUAGGAGAAAUUAAAUUUUCUGUCGGGGUGGCAUGUUCUUGGAAAGUUUAUAAAGCCUUUGAAGGCUAAAGGUCACUUUACCCCACCGUAGAAAGUCGAUGAAAGGUCUGGAAAUUUUCUUUCUAACCUUGAAAUUUUACGUUAUAAUACUUGUCGUUUUUUCUAUGAUUUUGUAUUGAGAUUUUAAUUAAUCACCUUCAAUGGUAUUUCAAGACCAAUGGCCCAGCCGCAUUAUAAAUUUGAAAAAUCGAGGAAAUUCCGUCUCUUGGGUAGUUGCUCUCUAUGCGCGGGGAUCAUGCACUCUGUCAAUAAUAAAAAGUAUUUUAACAUAGAUCAAAUGGAAGUUAGAUUGUACAAAUGUCGUCUUUUGAAUUUUUUACGUAACCAACAUGAAUAAUUAUAAACACUUAAAUCUUACACAAACUGAUUGCGGUGGAUGCACAGGUCAUUGGUAGGUUGGAAUUUGUUUUUCCCCCGCUAACGUGCGUUAAAAACUCAGCAUUAAGCUGAAAUUCUCACUACAGAGGGAAUAACUCAUCAGAGUCAAUCUGAUGAGUUACUCCCUCCGUAGUGAGAAUUUCAGCUUAAUGCUGAGUUUUUAACGCACGUUAGCGGGAAAAAAAAUUCCAACCUACUUAAAUCUUGUUCAAGAGCCAAAUCCCAGACUUCAUUUUGUGUGAUUCAUUUCCUUUUAAAAUGCUGAGGAGAAAAAUGGUGCGUAGUGAUUUGAUUUAUACUUUGGCCAGACCCCCACCGUGCUGUCUUUUGUAGUAGAUCUAAAGCUAACAGAGGGUUCAAAUGUCUGGAAAACCGGUAAUUGUCAGGGAAUUUCACCAGGUAAGGGAAAUCUGAGAGAAGUCAGGAAAUUUUAUGACGAAGACUUAUAAUUUCAACGUUAUUGAAACUUGAAAUUAGCGAAACCAGCAGCGAUUGUCAGCACAAUCAAUACAAGUCCGAGUCUGAUUCAGGGCUCAACACCCUGAAAUCCCUAAAUACCAUGCGCUGAGGAAAACGCCGUAUGAACAUUCGAGAGUUGCUACAUUUCCUCCGAAUUUGUUUAUUAUUAAGGAGAUUAUUAUUAUGAAUAUUUUCACAUGAAAUUUUCGGAUAAUUUAGAUAUGACGCAAUAUUCUCUGAAAAAGUCAAGUUAAAAAUAUUCACAGGUAUCCCUGAAAACGUAUGUUUUAUGAAAGGAAAUUUAACAACGCGUGAAGGCUCAUACGGCGUUCUUCCCUAGCAUGGCAGAACAGUGAAUAUAGGAAUAAUUGGACCACAUUUGCAAUAAUGAACCAAUUUUUCUGGCUAAUUUUAGAAUCAACUGAUGUGCCAUUAGUUCUCCUAUGCAGAUAGGCGCUUUUAUCCAUGAGCCUGAAAGUUUAGUUCCUUAUUGUAAAAUACAGUCCAAUUUCAAUAAGGAUUUGCUGCGUUAGAAAAUUGAAUUGUAUUACCCGAAAAAAGGUUCACAUUUUUCUGUCAUUUUCUGUGAAAUCAGUGCUAAAUUUUUAUUUUCAACUCUAUCCAUAUUAAUUGUCGAUGCGAAAAAUCAAGGAAUUUUGGUCAGGGGAAACCUGGAAAUGUCAGGGAAUCUAGCUGCUCGCCCAGUCUGCAAACACCCUGCUAAUUAGAAUACAUUUUGCAAUCAGUAACUAUACAAUUUCAGGCUCAUCCGUAAAAACACUUAUGUGCAUUGGGAAACUAAUAGUGCAUACAUUGUUUCUAGAUACUGGGAAAAAGUCGCUUGGAUCUAGAGUCCAGACUCUUAAAAACAUUGACAAGAAAAAAUACUCUUAAUUUAAUCGGAGUUUUGCUUAAAUCGAGAGCCAAGCCUCUUAAUUUAAGCUGAUUUCUUUAUG
rnacentral:lncRNA from 1 species